ACCCGCAUUCAAAUCUCGACUUCUCUUAGGCCGAAUUGCUGAACCUCUUCGGGUUCCUUUUAGUUCCACAAAAAAAAAUCUGUGCUGUGAAAUCAGAGGCUCCAUGGAAGCCACCUAACACGGUGUGGGACUCCGUGGGCACGAGACGCGCGGCGGCAUUUACCAUAAAGGCAAAAAACUCGCCGAGUUCCCUUUCAUCCCGAGAUAACUGCCUUUCAUUCCCCGCGUGACUGACUGCAGGACACGACCGCAAGCAAGGGAGGAAGGAAGGCAGGAAUCUCAGAGACCGAAACCGCUAAACCAGAACAGAGGGAAGUAACCAGCGCUUGACAGCUCCCCGCAAGGAGUGGCAGUUUCCGCGACCGCCAGUCAGUCCAACCAGCCAAGUCUGGAGCAGGACGGUCAGCGGCGUAGAGAACAAAAACCCAGGCUCGGCAGAAACUUAGACCCUCCCCCUAACGGUCUCGCCGCAGCUGGCCUCAGGCGGUCUUCGGACUCCAGUUUCCGGCCCUCGCAGGACCACAGUUCCCAGCAUGCCCUUAGGGGGGGGGGGGAAGUCUGUCCUUCUGGAUGACUACCAAUCCCGGCAUGCCAUUCGGUACCCCAGUAAAUCAGAAGGCAGAGUGGGAUGACCUCAUUGCAUAUAGGGAAUUGUAGUGCACUUAGCCGCAGGCCCGCAGAUGGGCGGGGAAAAGCCGGGUCGUUCUGGUCCGCUGAGAAUGAUUCAUAGAGGAGCGUCUGGAGAGAACAGUUCUGUCCGUGAAAGCCCGCUCAAAAGACUGGGCUCUUCUCUAAGGCUGAGAGACCGAGUAGAGCAAGCAGGGUCUCGGGCCUGACCCCGCCUCAGGCCGCUCUCCGGGCCUCGACCGAGUGCUGGGCCUUGUCGGGGACGGCGGCGAGACGCCGGUUGCUUGGGGAGCGGUGACGUCGCGGGGUGAAAGUUGAGGGGCGGUGACGUCGGGCCUGCCCGGGCGGAGGCUGGCGGGUUGGAGACUGGAGGGAGGGAGGGAAGGAGGGAAGGAAGGAAGCUGAGAAGGAGCGAGCGAGCGGGGGCGCGAGGCGUUUACCUGGAGGCAGCGGCUUGGGAGCGCAGAGCGGCCGCGGCUCCCCCGCACCUGCGGCCAUGGAUGAGGAGCGCGCCCUCUACAUCGUCCGGGCCGGCGAAGCGGGGGCUAUCGAGCGGGUCCUAAGGGAUUACAGCGACAAGGUAAAGAGCUCUGGCCCCGGGCGUGCGCUCACGCACCCCCGGGCCGCCCUCGGGGCUUGCACAUAGCAUCCCUCCCCACCCCCCUCAUUCCGGGGAUUCGCGUU
rnacentral:lncRNA from 1 species